GAUGAACGCUGGCGGCGUGCCUAAUACAUGCAAGUAGGACGAGUUUCGAACGGGUGAGUAACGCGUGGUAACCUACCUAUUAGAGGGGGAUAACUAUUUGAAACUAUAGCUAAUACCGCAUACUAGUCGAUGGACCUGCGUUGUAUUAGCUAGUAGGUAGGGUAAUGGCCUACCUAUGCAACGUUACAUCGCCGACCGGAGGGGGUGAGCGGCCAAACGGGGACUGAGACACGGCCCAGACUCCUACGGGAGGCAGCAUUGGGGAAUAUUGCACAGUGGGCGCAAGCCUAAUGCAGCCAUGCCGCGUGUAUUAAGAGGGCCUUCGGGUUGUAAAGUACUUUCAGCGAGGAGGCGUUACUCGCAGAAGAAGCACCGGCUAACUCCGUGCCAGCAGCCGCGGUAAUUC
rnacentral:rRNA from 1 species